CAAAUCAAAUCACCGACGGACAUCACUGGAAUCGAUCUGGCGGGGGCGCGAGGCGGCUGCUGCUGGCGCCGUCCACCUCCUGCGCCUCUCACGCUUCUCAGCCCCACCACCCACCACCAUGACGCACCUCCACCUCAACGUCAUCUCUGCCCCUUGCCCGUGUCCUCCAACGCCGACCUCGGCAAGCACGCCGUCGAUGUCGUCCGUCUACGGACGCCUCUCCUGCGUCCUCGUCUAACACCGCAGUUCGAGCACUCCCAUCACCGCCACCUCCCCGUGCUCCUCGUCAUCCCCUCCACUCCUCCCAUCUCCUUUGUUACCAGCCACCAAAGUACGCCGCCGGCGCCGUUAGUGCCACAACGCCUCUCCUACCUCCACCCUUUAUUGAUCCAGCAGCCGUACUUCCCACUCCCACCACCUCCACUUCCUCAUCGCCGUCUCCUCCGACACUGACCUCCGCAGGGUUGUGGCAGCAAGGGCGAGGUGCAUGAUAGUGACACAAAGAUGGGCGAGCAUGGGGAAUGUAGGAACCUGCAAGGUGUUGUGCCGCAGUUACUGCUGCAAGGAUGACUAUGGCGGCAACUGUUUGCACAAUAACUAAUUCAUGGCAUAGCAAAGGUUUCCUGCCAGGACCAUUGCCUCCAGUUUCUUGAUGUACGUUGACCAUUUAUUUCUAAGAUGUAACAUAUACCAAGGCACCUAUCUGAUGCACUGAGAGGGUGUGGUGAGUGGAGUGGAGGUAUGUGGUGCACUGAGAGGGUGAAGUAGAGCCUGAAAGUUUGUCCAAUUUCCUGCGCUUGGGGACGCACUGCUUUGUAGAAAAGUUGGAUACUAUGAUUUUGUAUAGUGAUGGGAGAUAGUCUUUGAUACUCUACUUAAUUUGUGGCGGGGGAGAUAUAUGUCAUGUUACUGCUGUCAUAUUCUUGUGUGUCUAAGCUUAAUAAUAAUUGAUUAGACUGUUAAUUUUCCGUGACGCAACUUCAUGACGACGCGUUUCUCGUGUCGAGGCAUGUAUGUUUCAUGAGACUAUUGGUUUUAAGAAACAAAAUCAUGUGAUAUUUUUCAUUGGUAAUGCAGUGCACAAUAAAGACCUGAUUUUAAUUU